AUUCAUACUGCCAAACUUUACUGCGAAGUUUUCGAAGUUUUCGACUUAAAAAGCUUAAAAUGCUUCGAAAGUAUCAAGCAUAAGUCUUUAUAAAUCAGAAUGAUGUUCGGAUAUCGAAAAUUCGUUCCGAAAUCGUUGGUUUUGCAAGUUAAAUGGCUUUUCGGGGAUCCAUAUAAGCUGUCGCGAAGAGCUUUAGCUACGAUUGACGACGUACCGGCGAGCUGUCAAACGGUUGAUGCACAAGAGAAGCUCAAACAAAAUACAGCUAUGUUUAACGAUACGAAGAGUGCUUAUAGAAGUAAAACUACGCGAGAAAUUCUACGAGCCCUGCUUGUAUUCAGAUUAUGUUCAGUCAACUUUUUGGUCGAUAACAAUUUAAAGGUAUGUAGCACAGAAUAAGGACCUGCUAUGUAGCAAUUAUGUUGUAUUUAUUAUACCAUUAGAAUUGUGUGGAUGUUAUAAAUAUAGUUUUGAAGUGUUAAGGCUGAGAUUUGGGUUAAAAAUAAACUUUAAAAUUGGGGACUAAAGCAAAAAGCUUGC